UGCCAGCCGCCGCGGUAAUACGAAGGUGGCAAGCGUUGUUCGGAUUUACUGGGCGUACAGGGAGCGUAGGCGGUUGGAUAAGCCCUCCGUGAAAUCUCCAGGCUUAACCUGGAAAGUGCAGAGGGGACUGUUCAGCUUGAGGAUGGGAGAGGAGCGCGGAAUUCCCGGUGUAGCGGUGAAAUGCGUAGAGAUCGGGAGGAAGGCCGGUGGCGAAGGCGGCGCUCUGGAACAUUUCUGACGCUGAGGCUCGAAAGCGUGGGGAGCAAACAGGAUUAGAUA
rnacentral:rRNA from 1 species